UAGGCAUGCAAGUCGAACGAUCCCGCAAGGGAUAGUGGCAAAAGGGUGAGUAACACAUGAGCAAUUUACCCUUAAGUGGGGAACAACCUUGGGAAACCGAGGCUAAAACCGCAUAAGACCACGGCAGGGCAUCCUGCUGUGAUCAAAGAGGGGGACCGCAAGGCCUCUCGCUUAGGGAUGAGCUCGUGUCCUAUCAGCUAGUUGGUGAGGUAACGGCUCACCAAGGCUUUUGACGGGUAGCUGGUCUGAGAGGAUGGUCAGCCACAUUGGGACUGAGACACUGCCCAGACUCCUACGGGAGGCUGCAGUCGAGGAUCUUUUGCAAUGCCCGCAAGGGUGACAAUGCGACGCCGCGUGUGUGAUGAAGGUCUUCGGAUCGUAAAGCACUGGCGGCCGGG
rnacentral:rRNA from 1 species